rnacentral:rRNA from 1 species
UACGUAGGGUGCAAGCGUUGUCCGGAAUUAUUGGGCGUAAAGAGCUCGUAGGCGGUCUGUCGCGUCUGCUGUGAAAACUCGGGGCUUAACCCCGGGCUGCAGUGGGUACGGGCAGACUAGAGUGCGGUAGGGGAGACUGGAAUUCCUGGUGUAGCGGUGAAAUGCGCAGAUAUCAGGAGGAACACCGGUGGCGAAGGCGGGUCUCUGGGCCGUAACUGACGCUGAGGAGCGAAAGCAUGGGGAGCGAACAGG